rnacentral:rRNA from 1 species
UACAGAGGUCUCAAGCGUUGUUCGGAUUCAUUGGGCGUAAAGGGUGCGUAGGCGGCGCGGUAAGUCGGGUGUGAAAGCCCCGGGCUCAACCUGGGAAUGCCAUUCGAGACUGCAUAGCUAGGGUGCGGAAGAGGGAAGCGGAAUUUCCGGUGUAGCGGUGAAAUGCGUAGAUAUCGGAAGGAACACCAGUGGCGAAAGCGGCUUCCUGGUCCAGCACCGACGUUCAGGCACGAAAGCGUGGGGAGCAAACAGG